rfam:Ictidomys tridecemlineatus contig114550, whole genome shotgun sequence.
GGAGAUGUUGCUCAGUGGUAGAGUGCUUGCCUAGCAUGUAUGAUGCACUGGGUUUGAUUCUCAGCACAACCU